UACGUAGGGUGCGAGCGUUGUCCGGAAUUAUUGGGCGUAAAGAGCUCGUAGGCGGGUUGUCACGUCUGCUGUGAAAUCCCGAGGCUCAACCUCGGGCCUGCAGUGGGUACGGGCAGACUGGAGUGCGGUAGGGGAGAAUGGAAUUCCUGGUGUAGCGGUGAAAUGCGCAGAUAUCAGGAGGAACACCGGUGGCGAAGGCGGGUCUCUGGGCCGAUACUGACGCUGAGGAGCGAAAGCGUGGGGAGCGAACAGG
rnacentral:rRNA from 1 species